rnacentral:lncRNA from 1 species
CAGAAUCUACCGUAGGUAUAGGUUGUUUAUACCCCAUAAGUAUGUUAACCAUGUCACUGAAAAUAUUUAAAAAAAAAUAGAAAUUGCAGAAAAAAAUAAAAUAAAAAUAGAAAAUAUUAAUGGCUCGAAUCAAUAAAUUAUUUUCAUAAACCGCCUAAACCUAAAUUUUUUCGCAAACCUCAAUUGUGCUUCAUCUUCUAUUUAUCAACCACCCAAAC